UGUUGUUUGGUCUGGGUAAGGUCUUGUAAACUAAAUUUAUGUGGUGAUAAGUGAGUCGUAAAGCUUUAUAACUGUUUGGUUGUUUAGAAUUUAGUGGGAUGUAGGUGGCUAUUAGGUCAUUUAUAUUUUUAUACAUUUGGUGAUGUGUGGUUUUUGAUAAGGUUAGAGGUACCUAGUUUUUGUUAUAUUGUUGUAAAUAUGGUUUUGUUGGUUUAUUGGUAUGUUAAUUGUUUGAACAACUGUUUUGCUAUAUUUGGUUAUUAUAUUAUCGUUGAAUAAGUAAUUUUAUUAUGCUAUUUAUUUCUUGAGUUCUUUCCGUCUGUUUAUUAAAAACAUUUCUAAUUUUAAUUGUAGUUAGUAGUGCCUGCCCAAUGUUGGUUAAUUAAUGGCCGCAGUAUAUUGACUGUGCAAAGGUAGCAUAAUUAAUUGCCUUUUAAUUGGAGGCUUGUUUGAAUGGUUUGACGUGAUUGGUAUGAAUAUUUGGUAUUUAGUUGAAAUUGAUUUUGAGGGUUUAGAAUCCUUAAUGUUUAAUAAGACGGAAAGACCCUAGGAUCUUUUGUUUUUGUUUGGGGCAAAUAUUGUUGUUUUAUGAAUAUUGUGACCCUGAGAUGAUAUUGGUUUAUUGGGUUAAG
rnacentral:rRNA from 1 species